UACAGACUCCUGCUGGCGCCUGACAUGCUUCCUGCCCCUUUUAAGAUAAAACUGACUCAAAAACAGAGACGAUGAGGUGACAGCCUUGCAACAAGUCACAGUGAACUUUAUUAAACAGAACUCCUGUUGGGGAUUGAAAAGGUAAACAACUUGCAGACAUCUCCCAGGACUUGGGUUUUGUGCACCCCAGUCAGACCACCAUGCUCAGAGGAGGGUGUGCGCGCCACCCUCCACCGGGAGGCGUGCUCACGGAGAAACCUGCAUGCGCUCAGCAAGGCCGUGGAAGAACCCCGGGCGGGCCGCGGGAAAACCCCGCGUGUUUCCCCGGUGGGUCUAGUGCUCUGAGCCAGGAGUGUUCCCGUAGGGAGCCUUCAGGCCCUCCGCUGAGAAGGCCGCAGCUGAACGCGGGGGCGCGGCGCGAACCUAGGGAGACAGCCCGCUCGCAGCUCCGGUGGCCUGUGGGACAGGACGGCUGCGAGGCACCCACCCCGCGGGGCGUGCGCGGCCGAACGCUGGGUGCGGGCUGGGGGUGCACAGUACACCGGCGGCGGAAAGCAGGCGCAGCUCCGCGGCCCCGGGACCCUGAAGCCCAGUCCUUCCGGCCGCGGAUUCCCGCUUCGCCUCCUGCACCGCGUGCACGCGCGCCGCACGCCCAGAGAGCGGGCUUCGGGCGCGCGGACCGGCUGCUUCAGCGGCUCCCAGAGUGCCCUGCGGCGGACCGCUGGGGCUGCGCACAAGCGCGCGGGGCGGGGCCAACGGCCGUGCGGUUAGAGCGGGACCUGCGUGCGGCUGCUCUGCCUGAAGGAGCUUAAGUCUCGUGAAGAAGACAGCUAAACAUGGCCACAACGAUCAGAACGCAGAAAAGGGGCACUUAAUCAGACCUGAGAGAAGAGGAUGGUGGAGGCUUCUUUCAAGGAUGGCACUGUGGAGGGGAACCUGAACAAUGAGCAUGAACAAGGUCAGGGAUGCUGCACGGAGAGGGGAGUGUGGGAUUGAUGCCCGCGCCCUCCGUCGUUGGGGGCAGGGACCGCUCCCAACCAACGUCGCACAUGCUCGUCCCGCCGGCCAGGGCCGCCCGCUUCUGGUGCCCACCAUGCUUCUCUCCAACAGUGUGCAGCCACCUGCAGCAGAGGAAGCAUUCUGCUUGUGCCCGCCCGCCGGUGUCUCCACUCCGCUGCCAAGGCCUCCCGCUGAAGCCGCUGUCGCUUGCCAAAGCCCUGCGCUGCCUGCCGGUGCCCUCCAACAGCGACCGCCCGCGGCCUCCUCCCGCCGGCUCCAGGGGCCCCCCUUGCCAGGGACCCCCCUCGCCAGGGACCCCCCUCGCCAGGGACCCGGCACCCUCUUCCUCACGCAGGCCUGUGCUCCUCGCAGGGGCAGCUCAUGCGCAACCACCGACCCCGGAGCCCUCCUGCCUGUCCCCGCCAGCUGGUGCCUCCCGCUGACACCUGCCCCGGACGCCUGCUGCCACCACCGCCCUCCAGUGCCUUCUUCCCGCUGAUGCUGACCUUCACUGACGCCCAGGGCUCCCCGCUGCUAGAGGCCCUCAGACUCCUGCCUCUGCCAACAGAGGCCCUCUUGCCAGGGACCCAGCAGGCCUCGCCAACUUUCAGCAGCUUCAGCUCAUAG